CUCACAAAAAAAAAUUUAAAAUAUUAUUUUUAAUGGGUUAGGAAUGAUGAUAAACAGGUAAGUAGAAUAUCAAAUUACAAAAUCAUCAUAAUACCAGGUUGAUGGUCAUUUUGCCUAUAUUUUAUGAUCGCUAACUAAAAUCAGACACUUAUAAAAUUCUACCUUACAGACCCUCUCUCUCUAAACUAGGGUCAAUUCACUGCCCCUUCUCUCUCUAAACUAGGGUCAGUGACGGUGACUUGGUGAAGUUUUGGUGGUGACGACGAAGGUGACUUGGCGGAGUUUUGGUGGUGACGACGACGGUGACUUGGUGGAGUUUUGGUGGUGACGGCGAUGGUGAUUUAGUUGAAGACACCAUGCCGUUGGUGGUUCGAUAAAAAUCUGGUAGUCAGAGAAGAAAAGGGAAGGGAUUAACUCCAA